UGGGGAAUAUUGGACAAUGGGCGAAAGCCUGAUCCAGCCAUGCCGCGUGUGUGAAGAAGGUCUUCGGAUUGUAAAGCACUUUAAGUUGGGAGGAAGGGCAGUAAGUUAAUACCUUGCUGUUUUGACGUUACCAACAGAAUAAGCACCGGCUAACUUCGUGCCAGCAGCCGCGGUAAUACGAAGGGUGCAAGCGUUAAUCGGAAUUACUGGGCGUAAAGCGCGCGUAGGUGGUUCAGCAAGUUGGAUGUGAAAUCCCCGGGCUCAACCUGGGAACUGCAUCCAAAACUACUGAGCUAGAGUACGGUAGAGGGUGGUGGAAUUUCCUGUGUAGCGGUGAAAUGCGUAGAUAUAGGAAGGAACACCAGUGGCGAAGGCGACCACCUGGACUGAUACUGACACUGAGGUGCGAAAGCGUGGGGAGCAAACAGGACUAGAUACCCUGGUAGUCCACGCCGUAAACGAUGUCGACUAGCCGUUGGGAUCCUUGAGAUCUUAGUGGCGCAGCUAACGCGAUAAGUCGACCGCCUGGGGAGUACGGCCGCAAGGUUA
rnacentral:rRNA from 1 species